GUGUGUGUGAGGGUGCCGUGAGGGUGUGUGUGAGGGUGUGUGUGGGUGUGUGUGUGUGUGAGGGUGUGUAUGUGUGAAAGGCACUGGGAAAAGAAUCCCAUGCUAAAUGCCCAAGAGCCCAGAGGAGAGGAAGACGGGGCCAGGAGCCUACAGAGGAGGAAGGGUAGCCAUUCUGGGCCUGGAGACCCCCACCUUCCUCCCCUAAAAUACAGGGAAGAAGAAGGCCUGCCCUAGAGGCCAGUAGGAGCUGAGCAAAAGGAAUCCUAAGUCCAAGAGAGGAGCAGAGGACCUGGCCGCCAGCUCCACCCUCCCUCCCAGGGCCAAAUUUAGCCUGGGCUUAGAAGCUGCGGCCCAGCCAGCUCAUUAAAGGGCCCACGACCCUUUGGGCCUGUGCUGUCAGACCCACCCGGGCCCUAGGACACCUCCAGCCCUCAGAGCUCCCAGCCCCUUCAUCCCAGAGCCCAGCUCCCAGCCCCAUUCCCUGGAUCCCCAGCUGGCCAUGGCAUUAACACCCCAAAGCCCUUCUGGCGCCUGCCUCACCCAACCCAGAUCCCUCUUCUGUGGGCCCUCCACACCUCCGUCUUACCACCCCUAAAUCCUGCCCCCUCAUCCUGGGCCUCCCCGCUGAACAAGGCCCCAACUUGCCCACGAGGAGAGGAGUCCAGAAGAGUGUCUCAGCCAUGGCUGCCCGGCCUGGCCCGCCCGGCCAAGCUGGGUGUCCCCUUAGCCCCUGCGUGCUUUCCUGGGCACAACACAAUCACACAGACUGCUCCAAGCUCCUCGAAGACUAGGAUCUUGUCACGUUUGUAUCCUUGGGCCUGGCACAGGGCCUGGUAACUAGUAGGUGUAGCUGGCUGGCGGCAGCUUCCUUAACAGCAAACGUAGGUGCCAUCCACCCAGCCUUUAUCCCCAGUCCAAGCACUUCAGCGUGGAGGUCUAGCAAGCCCUGGACAGGACCAGCCAGCUAGAGACAGCUGGAAUAAUUAUAGACAGAAACUGCCCCUUGCGAUUUGGUUACUGAGUGGGAAAGUUCGUAAAAGGAAGACGGGAGAAACGCUGGACUCUUCCUGUAUUAAACAGUUUCUGAAUAAAGAGCUGUUUCCCUAGCAUCCUCCAAACUCUGGCCAGUCCGAGCUUCUUUGGUAGUAGUAGAAUGAUGAUACAUGGUUUACACCUAUCUGACUGCUUCAGUCCAUUGCAACUAGGGUCCCUUCUGGUGCUCACAUUGCCUAUCUUUAGCUCUCCGUUUUGUCAUCCCCAGUUGGGGCGUCGGUCAGGAGAGCUGGAGGGGUCGGGGCUCGUACCCCACCUCGCACAGCUGGUGCCCUUGCCGUGCCCUAGGCUCCGCCGGUACUUCCCCGGCCUCCGCCUCACUCCUGCGGCCCAGCCCUGUCCUGAGCUAGUCGCUUCUCUGUCCUGGCCUUUUUGACAUCCGCAUCCGUCUCUCCAGCUUUCUGCCCCGUCUCUGCCCACCAGUGCCUAAAUGUAAGCCCUCUGGUCCUUUGUCCCUGUAUCUCCCCAUCCCAGUGAAUGUUUGCUGAAUGAACGAAUGACUGCUGUCCAGUGUGUCUCAUUCAGCUUCAGUUUCUGUGCACCUGUCUCUAAGUCUCUUGAGGUCUGAGGCCGUGUUUUCUUUAUCUGCAUCUAUACGUUGCCGUGAGGGACAAAGGAAAGGGCUUCUCGUCAUUGUGAUCUGAUUCUCGCAUCUGCCUCCCAGACUCCACCCACAUCUUUCUCCCCUGUCCCGUACGCCGCCUCCAGCGCAACAACAAAGACUGCGACCUGGCCAGUCCGCCACGAGAGGGCGCGUUCGCUGGCGCCAGCCCGGUCUUGCGCCUGCGCGAUGUUGGGACGGAGCGGGAGUCGGGGGCGGGAUGCCUGCGGAGCGCGCCGCCCCGGGCUGGGGAUGCGCGUCAGCAGUGCGUGCUGGGGGACGCAGUUACAGGGGGCGACGCAGGAGGGAACCCAAGGCCACGAGCUCCAUCUCGUCCUCCCCUUCCCGACCCAGAAAACGCUCUAAUCUACAGGGGGAGGAGAAGCCGCACGGAGGCAGGGGGCUGGACAUAAUGAUCUCUUCCCCAUCCCACCUCCACCCAUCCCACCAUCUGUAUCAAGCCUCCGACUUCCAAGGACAUUUCCAUAUCCCCCCAGACAUUUUGGGAUACCAGCCUGGAGACCUAAAUGUACCCAGAAUCCCCCGCCUUUUUAUCGGUGGAUUUCAGCCCUCAAAGCGUUCCGUGAGCCUCUGACCGCCCAAAUCCAUCACACAUGAGUUGGAAUGCCAGGGACCAUUCCCGGCCAAACGUUAGAUUACAGGAGUAAGAGAGAAGAGGAGGGACUGUCCGAGGUGCCUCGGCACUAUGGCUGCACAGCUGGAUCUCUGGACACGGAGCCCUGGACCGUUUCCACCCAGACACUCCCAUUCCAUCAAGUGGGGGUGUGGACGUUUAUGCAAUUCUGGAAGGUCUCCUGGUGGGGACCCCUGGGAAAGAGACUAAUAAGAAAGCAUCCAGUUUCUUCGGUCUCUGACGUUGUUGUCUGCACAAGAGAGUUAAGGCAGCCAUCUUGGGACCAUGAGGGAGCCAGUCUAAGAGGCAAAUCAACACAAUGAGAGGGUGUUGGAAAAAGACAAAAAGAACCUGGUCCUUGAUGUCACAGCCAGGCCUCUGAAUUAACCACCCCCAGGACUUCUUGUUACGUGAGCUAAUAAACGUUCCUUUUUGCUUAAACCCCUUCUAGUUGGGCUUUCUGUUGUAACUUGCACCGAAAACUACAAUAGGAUAGCAAAGGAUAUGAACAUAAGUGAUUUGCCUAGAGGAAACCCACAUGGUCAAUGAGAAUAAGAUGCUCAGCCUCAUAGGCAGGGAAUGCAGCUUCAAAUGAGAUGCCACUUCAUGCCUAUCAGAUUGGCAAACAUAAGUCUAACAAGAGCAAAAGUUGGCAAGGAUGUGGUAAAACAGGAUGUCUUGUACAAACGCUGGUGGUGAGAGGAUCAAUUGGUUCAGACGCUGUAGAGAGCAGUUUGGCAGUACUAGUCAACUUCAAAGUGUGCCUGCCCGACAAUCCUAGCUUUCUAAGUAUAUGCCCUAAUAAUGGGUUCAGAGAAAAGUCCAAGCAUGUUCAUUGAAGCCCUGUUUAUAUAACAGCAAAACAGGCCCGGUGCAAUGGCUCAUGCCUGUAAUCCCAGCACUUUGGGAAGCUGAGGCAGGCAGAUCACUUGAGCU
rnacentral:lncRNA from 1 species